CACGUAGGGGGCAAGCGUUGUCCGGAUUUAUUGGGCGUAAAGAGCUCGUAGGUGGUUCGAUAAGUCGGGUGUGAAACCUCCAGGCUCAACCUGGAGACGCCACCCGAUACUGUCGUGACUAGAGUCCAGUAGGGGAGCGUGGAAUUCCUGGUGUAGCGGUGAAAUGCGCAGAUAUCAGGAGGAACACCAGCGGCGAAGGCGGCGCCCUGGGCUGGCACUGACACUGAGGAGCGAAAGCGUGGGGAGCAAACAGG
rnacentral:rRNA from 1 species